AUCUCAGUGUCAGCACCACCAUGAGACUCACCACCUUGCUGCUCCUGCUGUGCCUGUGCUCUGCUGCGAUGGCUUUGCCAUCUCAAUCGCCAACCAAGCCAGCAAUCAAGUUAUCUACUUGGGGAGAUGUGCACCCAAAAGCUAAGCGGCCAAAAGGACCAAACCUGACCAAUCAUUGCCAAGAAAGAAGAAGUCAAAGAAUGUCUAUUAAUUUAAAAUAAAACCAAACCCAUU